AGUGAGUCUUCAAUGGAAAGCUCCCCAGAGGUCAGCCGGAAACCUAGCGUGCAAGAGGCCGACCGUCCUCCUUCGUUGGUCUCUUCUCCCUGCAUCAGGGCUCCUAGUUCAGACGGACUUCAGGCAGAGGCCAAGGUGUCAGUUCCUGAGAGCCCACAACCUCUAACUACUGAGUCUGUGGACUGUGUAGAGGACAGGGCUGAUGGUGGGGUUGCAGAAGGUGGCAGUGAAGGUUCCUCAUCUGCAGAAACGUGUGCUUCCUCUUACCCUGGUUGGAUAAAAAGCCCAGAGAGAGGCCCUACUGGACCAGCUGGCCUGAACUUCUCCCCAGUUAACUCAAACUUAAGGGACCUCACCCCCUCUCACACCCUGGAGCCUCUGGUGGCUCCCUUCAGGCCUGAGGCUGCAACGGGGCCCGCAGCAGGAACAGGGUCACUGGUUGGCUCUCAAGCUGCCUUCAGUGAAGGCCAGGGGCAGCUUUUUUACCCCUGCUCUGAGGAGGGAAGUACAUUAGGCUUCUCUCGCUCUCUGAAUGGAGAUGGUACCAGUGAGGGAGGAGGAUCGGCACAGAAUCCCCCACAAAAGAAAAAGGUUUCCCUGCUGGAAUACAGGAAACGCCAGCGUGAAGCUCGUCGCAGCGGCUCCAAGACUGAGUGCAGUUCUCCAGUUUCCACCGUGCCGCCCUUGACCAUGGACGCCUUUCCUGUCCCUGUGGAGACGACCAGUGAACCCCCAGUACCCCCUGCUCCCUCACCGCUCUGCAGCACCAAUACUGUUACUGUAAAGAGCCCCAGUUGAAUGAGGAGAUGGAGACCCAGGCAGAGAAAGGAGAAAAGGAGGGAGGAGAGGGACAGUGGACGUCGUCCACGUCUGUAGAACAGGCUCGUGAGCGCAGCUACCACAGAGCGUUGCUGCUCAGCAAAGAUAAAGACACAGAUGGAGAAACAGAGGGUGGUGAUACGCCUGCACUGAGAGACUGUCCAUCUCCAAGCCUUCAGAAGACCCCCACUCAUGCACCCUGCUCUCCCAGUCCUCCCGUCCGGACGGCAAAGGAGGAUGAGGGUGACGGUCAGCCUCGGACACCAAAUCCGACAAGUCAACCGCAGACCAAGCCUACAAGCACUAAACCGGCUCCUUUGACCCCAACAAAGAUUCAUGCAACCCCACUGCCCUCCUCGCCGGUCCACUACCCGGGUCCCUCCCUUCUUCACUCUCCAAAGCCUCAGCCUCAGGGCUCACCAUUCCGCAGCCAGAGGGCGCUGUUCUCAGCCCAGCCUCAAAACCAGCCACAGCCUCAAGCUCAGACUGGUCCAACCCCUUUCCCCCAGUACAACACACAGAAUGCUCCACCGCCUCCACCCCCUCCUCCGCCAGCACCUCCAGUUUCGACUGCCUACUUCCCCAGCCAAAGCCCCUCCCCCGCAGGCCCAUUCCCUUCAUUUAAACCUGCCGUCACACCACCCUACCCCCCUGGUUCUCAGCCCCUGAUGCAGACUCUUCCUCACAGCGUGCACUAUCAGAGCUCGGCUGCUCCUCCACCGCCACCUCCUCCACCCCCCCACCCGAUGUCUGGGCCCACCUUGCUGCAUGUCAACCUACAGCCUCCUCCCAUACAGCAGCACCAGCUCAUGCUGACGACUGCUCCGCCUCCUCCUCCACCCCCACAGGGCCAGAACCCCCAGCAGCAGCAGCAACAGCAGCCACCUCCCAGUGGGAGCACCCUACUGUCUCUUACUCCUCCACCUCCGCCGCCUCCACCUCCCCCAGCCCCUUCAACUAACGCCCAAAUGCAGCCGCACCACUUUCAGAACUUGGGGGGUUUCCAGCCAACACUGAUGCACCCCAGUGCCGCCACCAACCCUUCAGUACCCCCAUCCACGUACCCCCCAUCUCUUCAGCAGACCGGACUGCCUCCGCCUCCCCCUCCUCCUCCCCAACAGACUCAGCAAGGCCAGGCCCAGGCCUCUGUUUCCCAGAUGCCUGCCGGGACUCGUGGAGCCCCCGCAUCCUCGACCCCCUUCCACAGUUCGGGGUACUUGAGCACAGGUUGGCACUGACCGCCCUCACUGCUGCCGCCCCUGCCUGCCGCCCCUGCGAACUCAGUCUGAGAGGGGUGUGUACCAUAAGCUGUAGAUACAUUUUCUAUGUACCUGAACACAUGGCCAGUGGAAAAACAGCUGAUUGUGGGAGAAAAGGGUACUUUUUAAAAUAAAACACAAGGACAGAAAAUUUUAGAAAAAAAACGGACAGUGAAAUAAUCUUCAAGACAAACUGAGUAAAAGUGAAGAUGGAUGAUCCCCCCGGUGCUCAUUGCCCUCUCUGGCCUCGUUUUGUUUUUAUAUAUCCUUCCUGUGAUGGAGACAAAAGUUCUUCUGUUCUGUGUCUUGUUUGGACUCCCGUUGUAAGGCCCGCACUUUGUUUAUCAAUGGACAUUCCAGCCUAUAUCCCCCUCCUCUUCCUCCUUUGUCUUUUAUUCCUUUGAUUCCCUCUUCUCUCGUCUAUUGUCAGCACUCUACGCCAUUUAUUUGUUUAAUCUAGUUGCUCAUUAUAGCAAAGAGAAAGCUUUUUGUAUAGAGAAAAAAACACAAUUAUUUUUUUUAUUCCUGUCUAACAACAAAUAUCUGUUCACCGCUGCAGAUUCAGAAAAGACCCAUGCUGGGAGGCUGCACUCGUAUGUGUGUGUUUGUGUGUGCGUGCGCGUGUGUCUGAGUGUGUGCACAUGUUGGGUGUGUCGGCCUAGUGUCACAUUCAGAGGAGGAAAGUGUGAGUGAGUUUCCCUGUUACGAGUGCUCGUAGUCUUCGAAGGUAGGCAGGGUGGUGUCGCCCACAGGUAGGAUGUUAGCGGUUUAUUUUUGAAUAUCAAUGGUUAUUUGUAGAAAGUGUAAUUUAAUGUAUAGGUGGUUACUCCAGCUUUCACCAGGAACAGGUUGUACAUAUUCGCUUCUUUUCUUUUCUAUGCUUGUACAAUUUGCUUCCCAUCCCAUUUUGAAAUAUGGUUGUAAAUAUGAACGCUCUUCUUGGCAAAGCUGAAUGUUUCUGUGACUGUAGCAUUAUUUUUAUUUUAUUUUUUUCCCCUCUCUGGACUCUUCAACUUUGUCUUUUUUUAUUAUUUGUGUGAGUGUAUGUUUGUGUGGAGGGGACAGACUCACAGACACUGCACUGGUUGGCUAUUUUCAUGGUUCAUUAUAAUAAAAUCACUGUAAUGAGUUUUAUACCACUUGUCUUGGCGUGUGUUU
rnacentral:lncRNA from 1 species